rnacentral:rRNA from 1 species
AUGAAUUUUUUAUUUUUUAUAAAAAAAAUGAACUAAGAUAUUUAAAAAUAAAUUUUUUAAAAUACCUUUUGUAUAAGUGUUUAAUGAAAAAAAAAUAUUGAAUAUUUUUCCCGAAAUUAUUAGGUAAGUAAAUGAAAAAAAUUAACGUAGCAUAGUUAUUAAUAAUUUGUUUACAGGAAUGAAAAAUUUUCAUUAAUAAUGAUAACUGGAUUUAAAAUAAAAGUAUUAAGUACUUUAUACAUUUAAAAAGUAUUAGAUUUUUUAAAAAAAGAAUUAUUAUCUUUAUCUAUUAUUAUAAAAAAUAAUUUUUAUAUAAGUGUAAAAUAAAAAAAAAUAUAUAAUUAUUUUUAUCUUUAAAUUAUUUUAAAAUAUAAAUCUAUUAAGACUUAUAUUUUUUUUGUUAAAAUUAGUAAUAAACUAAUAUCUUUUUAGGAAUUCGGCAAAAUUAUUUCAACUGUUUAUCAAAAACAUAGUUUGAGGAAAUAAUCUCAAAUGUAUCCUGCCCAGUGAUAUUUUUUUUAAAUGGCCGCAGUACCUUGACUGUGCUAAGGUAGCAUAAUCAAUUGGCUUCUAAUUAGAGUCUAGAAUGAAAGGAAUUAUGAGGUAAUUCUGUCUUAAAAGAUUUUUUUUUAAUUUAUUUAAAUGAUGAAAAUAUCAUUUUUUAGAAAAAAGACGAGAAGACCCUUAGAGUUUAAUUUUUUAAUUUUGUUGGGGCGACAAGUAAACAUUUUGAACUUUACUAAAUAAUUUAAUCGAUUUAUAAUAAGGAUAAAAAAACUACCUUAGGGAUAACAGCAUUAUAUUUUUAUAUGAUUGUGACCUCGAUGUUGGACUAGGAACUUUAUGGCUAGCCGUCAAAAAAGAUUUGUUCUGUUCGAACAAUAUUAUCCUACAUGAUCUGAGUUCAGACCGGCGUAAGCCAGGUCAGUUUCUAUCUUUUAUUUUAAUAUUUUUAGUACGAAAGGACCGGAAUAUUUUUUU